rnacentral:tRNA from 1 species
AAUGAAGUGCCUGAGAAAAAGGGUUAUUUUGAUAGAAUAAAUCACGUAGUUAUCUACCUUCAUUA